rnacentral:lncRNA from 1 species
CACUAACAUAAGAAAACUAAAGAUAACAUCGGAAUUAAACACGAGUCUGACAAAUCACAUAGGCAAGCCCUCGUCCCUAAGCAUCCUCUGUUUCACCGAACCAUCUUAUUGAUUUGUUGCCCCCAAACACCAGCUCGUUGCUUAGGCGUCGACGAUGUCGGCGUUGUUGGACGCCGCCAGGAUCAUCUCCGGGUGCAGCGCCGGGGUAACGUUCUUGAGCGUCCCGUCGAUGCCGUUCGGCCGGCCGAGGGCCUUGAGCGCCAGGUGCGCCGCCUUCUGGCCGGAGAUCAUCAUGGCGCCGAAGGUCGGGCCCUAUAACCAACCGCCACCACAAGACAACAGAAAUUAAUCCGGUCAGUCCACAAGUCGUGAGUGAUUCGUCUUCUUUCUUCUUCUUCUAAGAAGGAGACUCGUGUCGUGUACAGUAUAAAUUAUAAAAGCAAAAUUUAGGAGUACCAUUCUCGGGGCACCGUCGAUCUCGGCGACCUCCAUGCCGGUGACAAUCAUGCCCGGGACGACCUCGCGGGUGAGGCGCACGAUGGCGUCCUCGGCCGUGUUCAUGUCAAGCGCCUUCAUCCCGGGCACCGCCUGGAUCAUGCCGAUGUCCUGGAGCCGCUUGACCCCGGUGGCGCCGAAGGGCCCGUCGUGGCCGCAGGAGCUCACCACGACCUUGGCCUCCAUGACGUUGGGGUCCAUGCAGGACUGUGUGUCGUGGUUCAUGGAGACGAGCGCCCAGUUGGUGACGACUCCGGCGACGCGGUUCUCCUUGACGAUGAGGUCCUCCACGGCGACGGCGUUGAAGAGCUUGACGUUGGGGCGCGCGAGGAGGCGGCUCAUGAUGGUGGAGGUGAAGAGCGCGGCGUGCUUGAUGACGACGUAGUCCUCCUGCUCGUCGUACUCGAUGUUGAGCUCGUCGAGGAAGAGGUGCGCCGGCUUGCGCACGACCAUGGCGGAGAAGAGCUGUCCGCCGAGCCACGCGCCGCCGCCGGGGGACACGGACUGCUCGAUGAUGGCGAUGCUGAUGGAGGGGUCCUUGGAGAGCUC